GGGGCAGCCCAAGUAGCUCAUCUGAAAAAAUAUCAAAAAAUUUUUGACAAUUGAAAUAUCAUCCAACUCUAUCUUCUCCUUCUAGGCAUCCACUAAGUAGGCCAAAAAUGCCUUGCAUUCUUUCCUUAAAGCCUUCCUUGCAUUCAUAACUGAGAUGAUACUCGAAGAAGGCUUUAACUAUUUAGGUUCCGCGUUAUGAGCU
rnacentral:lncRNA from 1 species